UGUGGUUGGGAGGAGUCCUAACAGCGGGAGUAAGAGCUCUGAUUAUCCUCUGCUUCUGCUGCCUGCCUUUAGGACCCUUUUCCCCACA
ensembl:miRNA Mir3098 microRNA 3098